UACGUAGGGUGCAAGCGUUGUCCGGAAUUACUGGGCGUAAAGGGCGCGUAGGCGGCCUUCUAAGUCAGACGUGAAAUCCCCCGGCUUAACCUGGGAACUGCGUCUGAUACUGGGAGGCUUGAGUAUGGGAGAGGGAUGUAGAAUUCCAGGUGUAGCGGUGAAAUGCGUAGAUAUCUGGAGGAAUACCGGUGGCGAAGGCGGCAUCCUGGACCAUAACUGACGCUGAGGCGCGAAAGCUAGGGGAGCAAACGGG
rnacentral:rRNA from 1 species